rnacentral:rRNA from 1 species
ACUCAAAGGAAUAGACGGGGGCCCGCACAAGCGGCGGAGCAUGCGGAUUAAUUCGAUGCAACGCGAAGAACCUUACCUGGGUUUGACAUGGCCGCAAAACUCGUAGAGAUACGGGGUCCUUCGGGGGCGGUCACAGGUGGUGCAUGGCUGUCGUCAGCUCGUGUCGUGAGAUGUUGGGUUAAGUCCCGCAACGAGCGCAACCCUCGUUCGAUGUUGCCAGCGGUUUGGCCGGGGACUCAUCGAAGACUGCCGGGGUCAACUCGGAGGAAGGUGGGGAUGACGUCAAGUCAUCAUGCCCCUUAUGUCCAGGGCUUCACGCAUGCUACAAUGGCCGGUACAAAGGGCUGCGAUGCCGUAAGGUGGAGCGAAUCCCAAAAAGCCGGUCUCAGUUCGGAUCGGGGUCUGCAACUCGACCCCGUGAAGUCGGAGUCGCUAGUAAUCGCAGAUCAGCAACGCUGCGGUGAAUACGUUCCCGGGCCUUGUACACACCGCCCGU